GCAGCAGCUGCUUUCGUCCCGAGCCGGAUAACAAGAGGAGGAAGAAAAGCUUUGCCUGAUUUCAAAGUACCGCAGACCUCCGCUGGCAAAGGAGCGCCGGGAGCAGAGCGGCUGCCCCGGCAGGGCAGGCGGCACCGGAGAGGUAACGUGCUUUGGGGGCUUUACUGCUGCUUAGGUGCUUCACAGCGAUGAGCACCUCCAUGCACGAUUUUUUAAGAACUCCUUUAUAUCGACAGUUCAUUCCUCAAAAUGAAGCAGCUGGAAAAACGAGUGAUGAUCACCAGCAUUGACCGUCAAAAUGCAAACGGGGACGAGCCGUCAGCCUUUGGUUGCUGGCACAUACAGAACUGCUGCUGUUGGCUCCUGCAAAGGGUCUUCCACAGCCCUUGAUGUUGUCUCGGGGCCACGGACUUAAGUUCCCAGCAAGGCUCGGUGCGCGCAGUGACCCCCAAGGUGUCCUGAUGCCUCCUUGCUCUCCAUUCCCAGUUCACCCCUGGCUGCAGAGCCCCAGGCGAAGGCCCGUCCUGUCAGCAGCCUCAUAGCAAACAGGUUUCUGCAAGUCCACCUCUCCAACGGGAGCUAUUUUUGCAGCAGAUCCUUCCAAAAUAGAAACCAGAAACAUCGAGCGCCAUCCCCACCCCGGCGAGGCGCCAGCGCAGACCGGCUCCCUACGGCUGCUCGUCCCCGGCCACCAACGCCCAGCGAGAGGGGCUCCGCCGCCGCUCCCGCCGCACCUGGGCCAGCCCCGAGGA
rnacentral:lncRNA from 1 species